AGGACGAACGCUGGCGGCGUGCUUAACACAUGCAAGUCGAGCGGAAAGGCCUUUCGGGGUACUCGAGCGGCGAACGGGUGAGUAACACGUGAGUAAUCUGCCCAUCGCUUCAGGAUAGCCAUCGGAAACGGUGAUUAAUACUGGAUAUGACAUUCCUUCGCAUGUUGGGGUAGU
rnacentral:rRNA from 1 species